CAGACCCUACGGGGCGCAGCAGUGAGGAAUAUUGGUCAAUGGGCGGAAGCCUGAACCAGCCAAGUCGCGUGAGGGAAUAAGGCCCUACGGGUCGUAAACCUCUUUUGCCGGGGAGCAAGGGCGGGGACGUGUCCCGGCCCGGAGAGUACCCGGAGAAAAAGCAUCGGCUAACUCCGUGCCAGCAGCCGCGGUAAUACGUAGGUGGCGAGCGUUAUCCGGAAUGAUUGGGCGUAAAGGGUGCGCAGGCGGCAUGUCAAGUCUGAAGUGAAAGGUACGGGCUUAACCUGUACAGGCUUUGGAAACUG
rnacentral:rRNA from 1 species